UUCAGAUUGCAGGCUGCAACUCGCCUGCAUGAAGUUGGAAUUGCUAGUAAUCGCGAAUCAGAAUGUCGCGGUGAAUACGUUCCCGGGCCUUGUACACACCGCCCGUCACACCAUGAGAGUUGGAAAUACCCGAAGCCUGUGAGCUAACUUUUAGAGGCAGCAGUCGAAGGUAGAGCCAAUGAUUGGGGUGAAGUCGUAACAAGGUAGC
rnacentral:rRNA from 1 species